rnacentral:rRNA from 1 species
UCUUGAUAUCCAGAGAAUUCGCUAGAGAUAGCUCAGUGCCUUCGGGAACUCUGAGACAGGUGCUGCAUGGCUGUCGUCAGCUCGUGUUGUGAAAUGUUGGGUUAAGUCCCGCAACGAGCGCAACCCUUAUCCUUUGUUGCCAGCGAGUAAUGUCGGGAACUCAAAGGAGACUGCCGGUGAUAAACCGGAGGAAGGUGGGGAUGACGUCAAGUCAUCAUGGCCCUUACGAGUAGGGCUACACACGUGCUACAAUGGCAUAUACAAAGAGAAGCGAACUCGCGAGAGCAAGCGGACCUCAUAAAGUAUGUCGUAGUCCGGAUUGGAGUCUGCAACUCGACUCCAUGAAGUCGGAAUCGCUAGUAAUCGUAGAUCAGAAUGCUACGGUGAAUACGUUCCCGGGCCUU